GUCAACGACCAUACAUGUUGAACACACCGGUUCUCGUCCGAUCACCGAAGUUAAGUCAACAUCGGGCAAUGGCUAGUACUUAGGUGGGUGACCACUUGGAAAACCAUGUGUCGUUGGCA
rnacentral:rRNA from 1 species